GUAACAAGGUCUCCGUUGGUGAACCAGCGGAGGGAUCAUUGCUGGAACGCGCCCCAGGCGCACCCAGAAACCCUUUGUGAACUUAUACCUUUUGUUGCCUCGGCGCAUGCUGGUCUCUAGUAGGCCCCUCACCCCGGUGAGGAGACGGCACGCCGGCGGCCAAGUUAACUCUUGUUUUUACACUGAAACUCUGAGAAAAAACACAAAUGAAUCAAAACUUUCAACAACGGAUCUCUUGGUUCUGGCAUCGAUGAAGAACGCAGCGAAAUGCGAUAAGUAAUGUGAAUUGCAGAAUUCAGUGAAUCAUCGAAUCUUUGAACGCACAUUGCGCCCUCUGGUAUUCCGGAGGGCAUGCCUGUUCGAGCGUCAUUUCAACCCUCAAGCAUUGCUUGGUGUUGGGGCACUGCUUUUAACGAAGCAGGCCCUGAAAUCUAGUGGCGAGCUCGCCAGGACCCCGAGCGCAGUAGUUAAACCCUCGCUUUGGAAGGCCCUGGCGGUGCCCUGCCGUUAAACCCCCAACUUCUGAAAAUUUGACCUCGGAUCAGGUAGG
rnacentral:rRNA from 1 species